GACACGACCGUACCGCAAACCGACACUGGUGCGCGAGAUGAGUAUUCUAAGGCGCUUGAGAGAACUCAGGAGAAGGAACUCGGCAAAUUGACACCGUAACUUCGGAAGAAGGUGUGCCUUUAGUAGGUGAACCUGUACAAGGGGAGCCCAAUGAGGUUGCAAAAAAUCAGUGGCUGCGACUGUUUAAUAAAAACACAGCACUCUGCAAACACGAAAGUGGACGUAUAGGGUGUGACGCCUGCCCGGUGCUGGAAGAUUAAAUGAUGGGGUGCAAGCUCUUGAUUGAAGUCCCAGUAAACGGCGGCCGUAACAAUAACGGUCCUAAGGUAGCGAAAUUCCUUGUCGGGUAAGUUCCGACCUGCACGAAUGGCGUAACGAUGGCCACACUGUCUCCUCCUGAGACUCAGCGAAGUUGAAAUGUUUGUGAUGAUGCAAUCUCCCCGCGGAAAGACGGAAAGACCCCAUGAACCUUUACUGUAGCUUUGUAUUGGACUUUGAACAGAUCUGUGUAGGAUAGGUGGGAGGCUUUGAAGUGUGGUCGCUAGAUCGCAUGGAGCCAACGUUGAAAUACCACCCUGGUGUGUUUGAGGUUCUAACCUAGGCCCGUAAUCCGGGUCGGGGACAGUGCAUGGUAGGCAGUUUGACUGGGGCGGUCUCCUCCCAAAGCGUAACGGAGGAGUUCGAAGGUACGCUAGGUACGGUCGGACAUCGUGCUAAUAGUGCAAUGGCAUAAGCGUGCUUAACUGCGAGACUGACAAGUCGAGCAGAUGCGAAAGCAGGACAUAGUGAUCCGGUGGUUCUGUAUGGAAGGGCCAUCGCUCAACGGAUAAAAGGUACUCUGGGGAUAACAGGCUGAUACCGCCCAAGAGUUCAUAUCGACGGCGGUGUUUGGCACCUCGAUGUCGGCUCAUCUCAUCCUGGGGCUGUAGCCGGUCCCAAGGGUAUGGCUGUUCGCCAUUUAAAGAGGUACGUGAGCUGGGUUUAAAACGUCGUGAGACAGUUUGGUCCCUAUCUUCCGUGGGCGCUGCAGAUUUGAGGAAGCCUGCUCCUAGUACGAGAGGACCGGAGUGGACACACCUCUGGUGUAUCGGUUGUCACGCCAGUGGCAUUGCCGAGUAGCUAUGUGUGGAAGAGAUAACCGCUGAAAGCAUCUAAGCGGGAAACUCGUUUCAAGAUGAGAUCUGCCGGGGCCUUGAGCCCCCUAAAGAGUCGUUCAAGACCAGGACGUUGAUAGGUCGGGUGUGGAAGCGCAGUAAUGCGUUAAGCUAACCGAUACUAAUUGCUCGUGCGGCUUGACC
rnacentral:rRNA from 1 species